UACGGGGGGGGCAAGCGUUGUUCGGAAUUACUGGGCGUAAAGGGCUCGUAGGCGGCCAACUAAGUCAUACGUGAAAUCCCUCGGCUUAACCGGGGAACUGCGUCUGAUACUGGAUGGCUUGAGUUCGGGAGAGGGAUGCGGAAUUCCAGGUGUAGCGGUGAAAUGCGUAGAGAUCCGGAAGAACACCGGUGGCGAAGGCGGUCUGGCUGGGCAGUAGCUGACACUGAGGCGCGACAGCGUGGGGAGCAAACAGG
rnacentral:rRNA from 1 species